CCCUUAGAUGUUCUGGGCUGCACGCGCGCUACACUGACACUAUCAACGAGUGCUCCUGGUUUGAAAGGAUCGGGUAAUCUUUUGAAAUGGUGUCGUGAUGGGGAUAGAUCAUUGCAAUUAUUGAUCUUGAACGAGGAAUUCCUAGUAAGUGCAAGUCAUCAGCUUGCGCUGAUUACGUCCCUGCCCUUUGUACACACCGCCCGUCGCUACUACCGAUUGAAUGGUUUAGUGAGAUCUCUGGAUUGACGCUGGCUAGGGGGCGACCCUUGGCCAGACUGUUGAGAAACUGCUCAAACUUGAUCAUUUAGAGGAAGUAAAAGUCGUAACA
rnacentral:rRNA from 1 species